UGCAUGCAGAUCUGUGGGCAGGGCUAAACAGACAGCGAUAUAAAGGUAGGCAUUGAUCUUCUUCUGCGGAGGCGGUGUUAUCCACACUGCUAGAUCAUAGAGUAGAACAUUCCAAAAGCUGUAGUUUUGGCAGAGUGCCUUAAAUAUAAGCUGUUUUAAGACUAACAACAAAGUUUUGAGUUCUGAAACUUACUGGAUGUUUUUAUGUUACAAUGACCUCUUAUUAUGUCAAAAGGUCAAUGGAAUUUUGGUUUCUCAGUUCAUGACCCCUUUAAAUCCAUAACUGCGUAUUUUCUAACUUAUUUCAUUGUAAAAUCUAAGUAUUGCAAAUAAAUCCUAAAUCUUUGUGGAGCAUCAGUUUAGUUGUGUAAGAUGUGCUCGCUUCUCUCUCCUGACACUAGUGUUGCUGCUAAGUGGUGGCACUUUAUACUGCAUGUCCUGUGAAACUUACAAGGUGCGAUCAGGAUUUAGAAAUACAAAAAUAAAAGUAAAAUAUAAGUAUAUAAAAACCAGACAAAUAAUUUGAAUUAACAGCUCAAAGUCAUCAAAACCAUAAAGUUGGGUUUCUUAUUAGAAUAUAUCCAUUUAUGAAUGUGAAGUUGUAACAAAUAAUCAAAGAAACAUUUUAUUGUGUUCUGAAUAAGAAAGCUUGCUGCUGAAACAUGAUAGCAAGAAAGUUGUUUAAUAUAUAUGAUAUUUAUUCAUAUUUUCAACAUCAGCAAUUUCAUCAACCAACAGAAUAAGAAAAAAAAAACAAGAAUAUAUAACAUUUCUGCAGGUCAUUUGUCUACUGUUACAUUACAGCCAGGGAAACACUUCCUCAUAAAACAAAUUGCGAUUCAGUUUACUGCAGUCUGGUUUGUUGUUAUCUGGUUUACAUUUUUUUGUAUUUGCCUUAAAAUGAUCAGGGAGACAUUUGUUGGCAAAUUUAUCACAGGCAAGAAUGACAUGCUGUUUUUGAAGGUCGACACUUUUGAUUAUUUUCUUCUUACUGACAAUCUUAACAGUGAUGAAGGAAAAAGGCUUCUUGCUGAUGCAAAGGUUGUCCUUAAACAUCUUUCCUCCUGAUGAACACACCGCUUCCACAUUGUCUUUCUCACUGAAGGGAAAGAAUGACUGAAUCGUUCUGUUCCAGGUGUUGAUUCUGUUAAUAAACUUCUUCCAGUGUUCUUUGUUCAGAUCGGUUGGUGUGUCAUUGCGUACAUGCCGUUUAAGGAAAGUGUUGUAACUAUUCUUGUUUUCUGCUUUAGUGCAGGGUCGAGGUGGGUGCAGUAUGUCCGGUUCACUCACACAGGUGUGGAGUGUGAGAGUCAAGAUGACCAAGAAUGACAGCAAGUGUUAAAAGAAGCUUAGCCACAUCCUUCUGGACAAACGGAAAACAUUAUUUUCCCACAACGCACCUACCUAUAUAAACCAGAACCUGAGUCAAAGCACUGACAAACAUCUGACCGGACACAAGGACGUUUCAAAUUAUGAUCCUAAAAAUGCUGUCAUUUGUGAUCAUCUUGACUGUGGUGCUCCACACUAGUCUGAGUGAGCUGGAUAUGUGGUACCCAUCUAAGCCCUGCACUGAAGCAAAGAACCAGAAUGCGUAUGACACUUUUCUGAACCACCACCUACAUAAGGACGCACCAAAUGAUCCGCGCAAACUAAGAGAAUGGCAGAAGUUCAUUACCAAAAUCAACACCUGGAACAGGCCGAUUCAGUCAUUCUUUCCUUUCAGAGAAGCAAGAAAGGUGAUAGCUGUGUGUUCAUCAGGAGGAAAAAUGUAUGAAGGGAACCUCUGCAUCAGCAAGAACCGUUUCACAUUCUUCACUGUUGAGAUCACAAAUAAGAAGCAAGUCAAGAGAGUCAAGAUUCAGGAAAAACAUGUUAUUAUUGGUUGUGAUCAAAUUCAAAAUAAAUGUCUACCUAUUCAUUUUGAGGCAAAUGUAAAUGAUGAUUUACCAGAUAAUAACAAACCCGACUGCAGCAGAAAAAUGGCAAAUUCAACCUUUACUACUUUUGAGGAGCUGUUUCACAUCUAGACGCAUGACCUGCAGAAAUCAGGUGUCUGGUGUGACUUUAUAGCUUUGUUCUUUUAUUUCUUUGUAACCAAUGUUGAAACUACAGUAAUGCAAGAAUGUCUGCUGACAUAUAGAAUGCAUUCUGUAUGUAUACACACAAACACCUAUAUUGCUUUCUAUGCUGUUGUUUCAUUAUUUCAUUUA